rnacentral:tRNA from 1 species
AUAGCUCAGUGGUAGAGCACAUGCUUAACAUGCAUAAGGUCCUGGGUUCAAUCCCCAGU